ACGGAGGAUCCGAGCGUUAUCCGGAUUUAUUGGGUUUAAAGGGUGCGCAGGCGGACUGGUAAGUCAGGGGUGAAAAUCUACGGCUCAACUGUAGACGUGCCUUUGAUACUGCCGGACUAGAGUUAAGAUGGAGUGGGCGGAAUGUGUUGUGUAGAGGUGAAAUGCUUAGAUAUAACGCGGAACACCGGUCGCGAAGGCAGCUUACUGGCCCUUUACUGACGCUGAGGCGCGAAAGCGUGGGGAGCAAACAG
rnacentral:rRNA from 1 species